rnacentral:lncRNA from 10 species
CGCGCGGGAACCCGGCCCGGCCGUACCCCGCCGGCCUGCCGACCCGGGUCCGGGGGCCCAGUUGGCGCCCGGACCAGCUCUCCGGUCUGCGUCCUGUAGAUGGGAAAACUGAGGCCUGAGAGGGCGCGAGGGCGGGGACGAGGCCGAGGACUCGGGUUCGAAUCUCGAGGACGCCAGUAGCCCGCUCUGAGGCCGCGUGGGGCUGGUGGAGGAGCCACCGGUCGGGCCCCCAAGACCGGCUGACGUGGGCCUCGCCUCGGGCGACUCCCGCCGGGCUAGUGGCUGGCCGUGUGGUGACCUUGGGCGAGUUACUUCGCACAGCCACCCAGGGGCCUCUUCUCCAACACGAUAGCACUGCACCCGGAGGGUAGGCCUUCAGACCUGAGCUGAAAUCUACACCACCGGCUCUCUGACUAUCAGGCUUUGGACUAUACUUUGGGCUUUCCUGGGUCUCUUACCUGGCAGACAGCAGAUUUUGGAACUUUUCAGCCUCCAUAAUCAUUUCCCAGAAGAACCACAAAGCAUAAAUUUCCCCAAAAGGGGAAUUUUGUUGAUGGCUUUAGUCUAUUCCCUCCUAAAAGACCAGCUACAACCAAAUGAAGUGAACAUAACCUCAAGGGUGUAUUGUCUUCAUAAUAAAAGAUGAAGCUUAGAACUGGA